rnacentral:lncRNA from 1 species
GAAGAAGCACAGCCAAAUAUUUGAUUUGGACGAUUACACUGAAGAUGCCUCAUCACAACUGUGGGUGCCCAGAUUACCAACUCCUUGCUCUUGGCUCCCGCACACUUUGCAGUUGGUAUUAAAGGCCAUGCUUCAUGAGAUUUUGGCUGGGAGAAAAUAAAAAAUGCCUACUGCCACUUCAAGUAAGAGGCGAUGGCGGGGAUGAUAUUUCCUGCAACCAGUUCGUGGCAUCAUGGGUUGCAGUUCCGAAACUCAGAUGCUCUGGAGCCUGUGCUCUGAUGCUGCGAAAGCCAACAGGAGAACAGUGCUUGUAUGUAUAGAUGCCACCAUCGAAUGUAUAUUGGGAUAAAGAGAAGACCAACCCAACUCUUCUGCUCACUAUCAGCCAAGCAGUCGUCACCAGAGCCAGCAGGAUGCAGCGGAUAACUGAUCAUGGAAGGUAGUACGUUUCAGAAGCCGGUGAUUAGCAUUAGAGCAGAGAAUUUCACUCCAUGUUCUUCAUAAGCUCUCAAGGUGAUUCUGAAAGUCACCAUGUUUGAGAAGCACUCUGCUGCUGACAUAGAGGCUGCCCUCGAUUUAUUCCUUUAUUUUUCAUCUCCUGUGUCACAUGCACCUGGCACCGAGAUAUGGGACAUAAACAAUGAAACUGCUGGCAAGAUGGUAACUUACGGCAGAGAUGAAACUCACCAUACACUCUAGAAGCAUGGACGCUGCUCAAGGAGGUUUCAGUCAUUGACAUACCAGAAACUUGGCUUCACUUGGCAGACUGCCCUGCUACCUCUUAGACUAAUGACACGAUGUCAUGUAUAAAUGACUUUCUCUGUUUCGUUUCAGUCACUCCCAGAAUGAUCAGGAACUCAUGUCAUCUGUAUUCAAUCUAACGUCCAGUUCAGAGAAAUAAUAACCUCAGUGAGGGUAAAGAAAGUAGGCUUUAGGCUUUUGGCUUCCAAGAUGAGCUAGGUUCAAGAACAGAAGAGGGAAAGGAACCCAAGAACAGGCAGUCCAGAUUCCAGGACAGAGUGGGAGCGAGAGGCAAGAUUCAGCAUGUCUGGUGCCAGAAAGGGGGCCGCAGGGGCUGGGACGUGGGGAGCACCACCAUGAAGUUAAAGCGGAAAGUAAAAUUUCAGAUGGAAUAAAGGGAGACUCAGAGUCA